rnacentral:rRNA from 1 species
AGCGAACGCUGGCGGCAGGCCUAACACAUGCAAGUCGAGCGCCCCGCAAGGGGAGCGGCAGACGGGAGAGUAACACGUGGGAACGUACCCUUCAGUUCGGAACAACCAAGGGAAACUUUGGCUAAUACCGGAUACGUCCGAAAGGAGAAAGAUUUAUCGCUGAAGGAUCGGCCCGCGUCUGAUUAGCUAGUUGGUGGGGUAACGGCCCACCAAGGCGACGAUCAGUAGCUGGUCUGAGAGGAUGAUCAGCCUCACUGGGACUGAGACACGGCCCAGACUCCUACGGGAGGCAGCAGUGGGGAAUAUUGGACAAUGGGCGCAAGCCUGAUCCAGCCAUGCCGCGUGGAUGAUGAAGGCCCUAGGGUUGUAAAGUCCUUUCGGCGGGGAAGAUAAUGACGGUACCCGCAGAAGAAGCCCCGGCUAACUUCGUGCCAGCCGCCGCCGUAA